rnacentral:rRNA from 1 species
UACGUAGGGUGCAAGCGUUAAUCGGAAUUACUGGGCGUAAAGCGUGCGCAGGCGGUAAUGUAAGACAGUUGUGAAAUCCCCGGGCUCAACCUGGGAACUGCAUCUGUGACUGCAUUGCUGGAGUACGGCAGAGGGGGAUGGAAUUCCGCGUGUAGCAGUGAAAUGCGUAGAUAUCAGGAGGAACACCGAUGGCGAAGGCAGGUCUCUGGGCUGACACUGACGCUCAUGCACGAAAGCGUGGGGAGCAAACAGG